UAACAUAGGAUGAGGUUGACGGUACCUUGAUAAGAAGCACCGGCUAACUACGUGCCAGCAGCCGCGGUAAUACGUAGGGUGCGAGCGUUAAUCGGAAUUACUGGGCGUAAAGCGUGCGCAGGCGGUUUUGUAAGUCAGAUGUGAAAUCCCCGAGCUCAACUUGGGAACUGCGUUUGAAACUGCAAGACUAGAAUAUGUCAGAGGGGGGUAGAAUUCCACGUGUAGCAGUGAAAUGCGUAGAGAUGUGGAGGAAUACCAAUGGCGAAGGCAGCCCCCUGGGAUAAUAUUGACGCUCAUGCACGAAAGCGUGGGGAGCAAACAGGAUUAGAUACCCGAGUAGUC
rnacentral:rRNA from 1 species